rnacentral:lncRNA from 1 species
UAAAUGGAUGAUUCAUGCAACUGGAAUAUGCAGUCUUCAAACAUCAUAAUGCUCUAGCUAUUUGGGCAUCAUCUGUUAAUGUUUUCACCAGUACUAGGUUCCAAAAUUAAGACAAAUGAAAAAUAAAUAAAUAAGAAGCAACUCAAAAAAUUAUACAUAACAUCAAACCUACCCUUAACAAGCUCAAAAUAAGAUCAAAAUGAUUUAUGGUAACUCUGGUAAUGAUCUUCAUUUUCCAAAAUAUUUACAGCUGCUGAGGCUCACGGUGUCAUUUAGGCACCUCAAUUCUUUAUAGGCACCUCCAAUGAAGAACUAACUGAAUUGAUUUAAUUUGAAAUUUUAUUUGGUUUUUAUUCUUUAUAGGCAGUUUGAAAAAAGUCCAAAAUAAAUUUCAAAAGGACAAAAAUGAGGCUCAAACAGUAUCAGUAUC